CCUGAUCCAGCCUACCGCGUGUAGUGACGAAUGCCUGUCGGGUUGUAAAGCACUUUCGUUAGGGACGAAACUGACGGUACCUAAAGAAGAAGCACCGGCUAACUCCGUGCCAGCAGCCGCGGUAAUACGGAGGGUGCAAGCGUUAAUCGGAAUUACUGGGCGUAAAGCGCGCGUAGGCGGCUUAUUAAGUCAGAUGUGAAAUCCCUGGGCUCAACCUGGGAAUGGCCUCUGAUACUGGUAGGCUAGAAUUUGUGAGAGGGAAGUGGAAUUUCCGGUGUAGCGGUGAAAUGCAUAGAGAUCGGAAGGAACAUCAGUGGCGAAGGCGACUUCCUGGCACGAAAUUGACGCUGAGGUGCGAAAGCGUGGGUAGCAAACAGGAUUAGAUACCCUGGUAGUCCACGCGGUAAACGAUGUCAACUAGCCGUUGGUAGCGACUUAGCUAUCAGUGGUGACGCUAACGCAUUAAGUUGACCGCCUGGGAGUACGCCGGCAACGGUAAAACUC
rnacentral:rRNA from 1 species